UUCGCAAUGCCCGAAAGGGUGACGAAGCGACGCCGCGUGGGUGAGGAAGGCCUUCGGGUUGUAAAGCCCUGUCAGGAGUUAAGAAAUGUAAGUGCGCUAAUAUCGCAUUGACUUGACGAAGGCUCCAAAGGAAGCCACGGCUAACUCUGUGCCAGCAGCCGCGGUAAUACAGAGGUGGCAAGCGUUGUUCGGAAUUAUUGGGCGUAAAGAGCACGUAGGUGGGUUUGUAAGUCAGAUGUGAAAGCCUCCUGUUCAACGGGAGAAUUGCAUCUGAAACUACCGAUCUUGAGUAUAGGAGGGGAGAAUGGAACUUCUGGUGGAGCGGUGAAAUGCGUAGAUAUCAGAAGGAACGCCGGCGGCGAAAGCGAUUCUCUGGUCUAUUACUGACACUCAGUGUGCGAAAGCUAGGGGAGCAAACGGGAUUAGAUACCCCGGUAGUCCUAACUGUAAACGAUGGGCACUAAGUAGAGGGGUUUU
rnacentral:rRNA from 1 species